AUUGAACGCUGGCGGCAUGCCUAACACAUGCAAGUCGAGCGGAGCGGCGGACGGGUGAGUAAUGCCUAGGAAUCUACAUGGUAGUGGGGGAUAACGUCCGGAAGGGGGCGCCAAUAACGCAUACUAUCAGAUGAGCCUAGGUCGGAUUAGCUAGUUGGUGGGGUAAAGGCCUACCAAGGCGACGAUCCGUAACUGGUCUGAGAGGAUGAUCAGCCACACUGGAACUGAGACACGGUCCAGACUCCUACGGGAGGCAGCAGUGGGGAAUCUUGGACAAUGGGCGCAAGCCUGAGGAAGCAAUGCCGCGUGUAUGAAGAAGGCCUUCGGGUCGUAAAGUACUUUCAGCGGGGAGGCGUUACCCACAGAGGAAGCCCCGGCUAACUCCGUGCCAGCAGCCGCGGUAAUUC
rnacentral:rRNA from 1 species